GUCCUAGCCGUAAACGAUGGACACUAGGUGUUGGUGGUAUCAACCCCGCCAGUGCCGAAGCUAACGCAUUAAGUGUCCCGCCUGGGGAGUACGGCCGCAAGGCUAAAACUCAAAGGAAUUGACGGGGGCCCGCACAAGCAGCGGAGCGUGGGGUUUAAUUCGACGCAACGCGAAGAACCUUACCAGGGCUUGACAUGACCAGGACCGCGGCGGAAACGUCGCUUUCCCGCAAGGGACCUGGCCACAGGUGUUGCAUGGCUGUCGU
rnacentral:rRNA from 1 species